GGUAGCGUGGCCGAGCGGUCCAAGGCGCUGGUUUAAGGCACCAGUCUCUUCGGGGGCAUAGGUUCGAAUCCCAUCGCUGCCA
rfam:Daphnia pulex DAPPTscaffold_105_Cont4589, whole genome shotgun sequence.